rnacentral:lncRNA from 1 species
AUCGGAUUAUUCAACAUUGAUCAGCAACACUCGAAUUUUAAGCGUAGCAAAAUGUAUUCGACUCCUAUCCUUAUUGAUAACAGUUCUGUCUAGAUACUCCGACUGCCGCCUCGAAAAAAAAGCUUUUAGACUGCGUACCCGUCCACUUAUUUGUUAAAUAUAAAUCAUUUAUAUUUCAAAGAUUUUAUACUUUUCUAACUACCAACAAGACUUUCUCAACUCACAACUAGACUUUCGUAACUCGCAACUCGACUUUUAUGACACGGAACUCGACUUUUGUAACUCUCAGCUCGACUUACUUUAUUUUUCAACUGGAUAUCAUUUUUUUAGAAACCAUCAAAUUGUGCCUGUCAAUCUAUUUCUAUACACUAGUCAACCUUCCCUACCUUAUCUGAAGAAAAACACAGGUUUAAUUAUAUAUUUUUUUUAAUCAUGUUUGGCCGUGAUACAAUUUUAACAAAUUUAUUUGGUGAGACAUGUUUCUAUAAAUUACAUAUGUGACGGACUAUUGAUAAGGGGGACUCCAAAAGGUGUGACAAAUAAGCCGCUUAAUUUGAACAUGUUGAAAGUUUCAUGUUUUACUUUUAAAAUAUCUCUACCUCUGUCCAAUGCCAACCGACCCAACCCUUCUGUUUCUUUAUAACAUUUCAUCGUAUAAGUGCAAAAUGUACUAUACAAAUAUCUCAACAUGGUUUACAAUUAUUGUGAUA